CAAUAUUGGAGUGGAUCACCAUGCGUUCCUCCAGGGGAUCUUCCUGAUCCAAGGAUCAAACCCACAAGGAGGCCAAAUUCAACGAAACUGGAUGGUCUGGAUCUUGUAUUGGAACAGGAACCCCAAAUACAUCAAGAUGAGGAAACGGAGGCUCAGAGGAGUUGAAAUCACAGGCUUCAAAUCCUGCAGCUUGGAUGUCGGAGCUGAGUUGGGCUAGCUCGAAGUCUGGCCACCCCCAGCUCUCCACCCAGGGUGCCCAUUGCCUGUUUGUGUCUUAAGAAAAUAUAGAAGCUUUGUCAGAUGCUCACAAGGAAGUCCAGAAUUGUAAUAAGAUAGCACUGCCCACUAUCAGAGGACAUCCUGAGCCAUCUCUGAGGUUCUUCCUCUGUAUCUCGAGGGUGAGUGUCCCGAGCUCCUGAUGUCUGUGACCACGUCUGUUCUCCCUGCCAUGUGCCUCACAGCUUCCUGAGCUAAUGGUUAUUUAUCCUCAGCUUUCAGCUGCCAUCCUUACGUCCACGGAGUAGAAUGGAUGGUUUUAACCUUGAGUAAUUACCAGAAAAGAAACCUUUGCAACCAAAGACUGGCAUCAAGAGAGGCCAGGACCGUUCAUAUUGACUGCAUAAAAAACAAUAGAAGGGCCCCAAAACAAUAAUUAAAU
ensembl:lncRNA